AAGUCGAGCGGAAACGAGUUGAACACUUUCGGGUGUUUGAGGGCGUCGAGCGGCGGACGGGUGAGUAACGCGUAGGGGAUCUGCCCAGGUAGUGGGGGAUAGCCCGGGGAAACUCGGAUUAAUACCGCAUACGCCCUACGGGGGAAAGCAGGGGAUCUUCGGACCUUGCGCUAUUGGAUGAGCCUGCGUCGGAUUAGCUAGGUUGGUAGGGUAAAGGCCUACCAAGGCGACGAUCCGUAGCUGGUCUGAGAGGAUGAUCAGCCACACCGGGACUGAGACACGGCCCGGACUCC
rnacentral:rRNA from 1 species